rnacentral:rRNA from 1 species
GACGAACGCUGGCGGCGUGCUUAACACAUGCAAGUCGAGCGGUAAGGCCCUUUCGGGGGUACACGAGCGGCGAACGGGUGAGUAACACGUGGGUGACCUGCCCUCAGCUCUGGGAUAAGCCCGGGAAACUGGGUCUAAUACCGGAUAUGACUUCAUGACGCAUGUUGUGGAGUGGAAAGCCUUGUGCGGCUGAGGAUGGGCCCGCGGCCUAUCAGCUUGUUGGGGGGUGA